rnacentral:rRNA from 13 species
GCAGCGCCGGCAGCUGGUGAUGUUGUUGUUGUUGUUGCAUUACUUGUAUUAGAUACAAUAUUAUCAGUUGUUAUUGUUAUAUCAUUAAUAUUACUAUUAUUAUUUAUUGUGAUAAUUUAUUUGAUGAAUAUUGUAUGUCAUUAAUAUUACUAUUAUUAUUACUACCUUCAACAGCUUGUACAUAUCUUAGUGUAAUUCAAGCUAGAUUAGGAUAUACAUCACCAGAAGGAUGGACUAAUGCACAAGUAUGU